CCAGACUCCUACGGGAGGCAGCAGUGAGGAAUAUUGGUCAAUGGCCGUAAGGCUGAACCAGCCAAGUAGCGUGAGGGAAGGCUGCCCUAUGGGUUGUAAACCUCUUUUAUGCGGGGAUAAAGGUGUCCACGUGUGGAUGUUUGCAGGUACCGCAUGAAUAAGGACCGGCUAAUUCCGUGCCAGCAGCCGCGGUAAUACGGAAGGUCCGGGCGUUAUCCGGAUUUAUUGGGUUUAAAGGGUGCGCAGGCGGAGGUGCAAGUCAGCGGUCAAAUUGCGGGGCUCAACCCCGUACUGCCGUUGAAACUGGCGGCCUCGAGUGGGCGAGAAGUAUGCGGAAUGCGUGGUGUAGCGGUGAAAUGCAUAGAUAUCACGCAGAACUCCGAUUGCGAAGGCAGCAUACCGGCGCCCUACUGACGCUGAGGCACGAAAGCGUGGGUAUCGAACAGGAUUAGAUACCCCUGUA
rnacentral:rRNA from 1 species